UGACGCCGCACUCCCCCACCCUAUAAGGCUACCUCCGCCCUGUCCAGUUGCCAACACAUUUGCGAAUCCCCCCUCCUUUUUCCCACUGGGUGUCAACACCCAAAACCCGAGUUGCUGAGCUCCGGGUUUCAGUUCCUUUCGGCGCGCAUCGCAUGACCGAUCACCUGCCUUGGGCUGGUGCUAGCAGGUCGUCCGUGAUGGUCACCCACCAAAGAUUUGGCAUUCAACCGCAUUAUUGUAAUGCUCGAAGUCUUUCUGAUAGAGUGGUAAUGCGUCGUGGCCAACCGUGCUCGCAUUUGCUGCAGCGUGGCCUACGUGUGCCAACUGGAAAUCAACCCUCACUUUGACCUCAUAGUUAUAUUUACUGCACGUGGAAAGCUAACAGCAGAGUAUAUAUCAUGCAUUGUUACAACUUAUGAAAAGUAAAUCUAUUUGAACAGGGAUCAAACGUAGUGUCAACACCAUGACGAAUACACUGACAAUGCUAAGGUAUUGUACAUUCACCUAGAACGUGAGGAAACACUUUACACUAAGUGCUAGAAUUAUUUUAUUACAACAGACACUUAGAGUCAAAUCUAUAUUGUACGCUAAAAGCUAUUGUACCUUACCGGAACAAUAGAGGUUGAUACGAUGCUAUCUGAACCCAGCAUUUGAUUUCCUUCAAA